GCAUUUGAACAUGCCAUCUUCAUCACAGGUUUCGAUGUGCGUGGAAGGAGAUUCUGAGCCCCAUUCUUCACAAUGACAAAAUGUUAGCAUGAAGUAAGGUGACCAUAUGAUCUUGUUUGGCCAGGAAGUUCUGGUUUUCACCCCAUGUCCUGACGUAAUUAUCAGUAGUUCCCCUUUCAUUAUCAAGUUCCCCAGUGUGGAAGAUAAAUUACAUGUCACUCUAGCACCAGAUAACCAAACAAGAGCUUGUCUAGGGGGUUGCCUUUCUAAGACUUUGCCAUCUGUCGACACUAGUCGACUCUUCCAGACCCAGCUUUGUCCGCUUGUCUUUGACAGAAUUAAUAUCUCCACCUGCACACUCCCACGGCGCUGGGUACUUAAACUUCAUUCACACUUUCUCCCACCAGGUGUUGGGCCUUCUCACCGAGGACCCCGCCGCAUCCUGGGUAUCUCCUUGCACCAGUCCUGGACACAGUAGGUUCUUAGUAAGAGAUGGUGGAAUGAAUUAUUUUGGAAAAAGAAGUUUCCCAACAGGAACUAUGCAAACAAUUCCUUCUGCCCUAAUACUCGGACGCCGGUCUCACAAGCUGCUUGAGCUGGGAAACCUGCUCCUGAGGAGGCGGUGAUUGAAAUUGGAAUCCGAUGUAGGGGAGCCUGCGUGACCGGUUCCCCAUCACAGACCUCUAUUUCUCAUUGAAAAGAAAAGCAACCAUGAUGCUCUGACAUCUACAAAGAAACCCAUUCACUCAAGCGUUCACCGGCCCCUCUGAUAUAUGUUGUUCAAUACCUAUGGCAUCAGGUCUGUGCUGGGCACGGACGUGCAGGUGUGUGAACUGUUCAUGGAACAUAAACUCACACAGACCUGGCUCAGACCUCAGCUUCUUCAGUUCCUAUAGAUUUGAUCUUGGGAGUGUCAGCCACUUAUCCCUCUGAACCAGCUCCUUCUCUGAAACUCCCCAUCUCAGCCAAGGCAUCACCACCACCUUCCCGUCCCAGCUCAGAACCUGGGGAUGAUUUUAUUCUCCUCAUUAACCCUCUCCCUAAUGUCCAGUCAACCCGCCAGUCAUGCAUGAGUUAGCUCCCAGAUAUCUCUUUAUCUUCAGCAUCCUCUCCAGUCCAUUCAACAGUAUUCAUAGAGAGCAUGCUCUGCUCCAGACUCUGCCUGACAUGAAGACCUGUCCCCAAGGAGCUCCCUAACUGGCUGGGUGCACUCAGAAACACACAACUUUCCUGCAGUGAAUGUGUGUGAGGAUAAGAAAAGCCCACUUUGAUUGCACACUUAGUCCCUGCCAGACACGAAGUACUUUAAACACACUAAAUCAUUUAAUCAUCCCAGUGACCCCAAGAGAUAGGUACUAUUAUUAUCUUACUUCAUAGAUAAGGAAACUGGAGGAACAGAGUGAGUAAGCAACUUGUCCAAGGGCACACAGCUAGUUAGCAGUGGAGGCAGGAUGCAAUGGCUUAAAAAGCC